AUAUUAAUAAGGGGCGGAAAAGAAACUAACAAGGAUUCCCUUAGUAACGGCGAGUGAAGCGGGAGGAGCUCAAUGUGAGAAUCAACAACCCAAGCGGGUGGUUGAGUUGUAGCCUUGUGAGCGCCUAUCAGCUGGAGGUGUGAUCUAAGUCCUUUGGAAUGAGGCACCACAGAGGGUGACAGUCCCGUCUAUGAUCGUCUCUACUUUCAGCGUACGAUGGUGUUUCAUCGAGUCGAGUUGUUUGGGAUUGCAGCUCUAAAUGGGUCGUAAGUAUGAUCUAAAGCUAAAUAUGGGCGAGAGACCGAUAGCGCACAAGUA
rnacentral:rRNA from 1 species